rnacentral:tRNA from 1 species
GCCUGGUUAGCUUAGUUGGUAGUGCGUCUGCCUUAUAAGCGCUAGGCCGCGGGUUCGAUUCCCGCCCGGGGCG